rnacentral:rRNA from 1 species
GACGAACGCUGGCGGCGUGCUUAACACAUGCAAGUCGAACGGAAAGGCCCUGCUUUUGUGGGGUGCUUGAGUGGCGAACGGGUGAGUAACACGUGAGUAACCUGCCCUUGACUUUGGGAUAACUUCAGGAAACUGGAGCUAAUACCGGAUAGGAGCUCCUGCUGCAUGGUGGGGGUUGGAAAGUUUCGGCGGUUGGGGAUGGACUCGCGGCUUAUCAGCUUGUUGGUGGGGUAGUGGCUUACCAAGGCUUUGACGGGUAGCCGGCCUGAGAGGGUGACCGGCCACAUUGGGACUGAGAUACGGCCCAGACUCCUACGGGAGGCAGCAGUGGGGAAUAUUGCACAAUGGGCGGAAGCCUGAUGCAGCAACGCCGCGUGCGGGAUGACGGCCUUCGGGUUGUAAACCGCUUUCGCCUGUGACGAAGCGUGAGUGACGGUAAUGGGUAAAGAAGCACCGGCUAACUACGUG